rnacentral:lncRNA from 1 species
AUCUCUAUAUACGUAUAGUAAAAGUAAUGCCCACCUUAAACGUUCUUAUAGCUGGCGUGGAGUCACUUCUUUUUCAGCUUCGUUUCUGUCGCCGGGACCUUCAUUAAUGAAGAGUCGAUAAGUUCGUGAAGAAAUUGUCAUAAGACAAAGUCUAAUUUUUUGUGCCUAGGGUAUCUUUUAGUGUUUUAGGGUUCUAGCAUCCAUAAUUCGUUCCCUUAAGACAAUCAAAAACCAACAUAAUCUUGACUAGUCAUAUAACCUCACGGGAAUCACAUAACAAACAAGAUAAAAGAAAUCAAUAUCCUUAACUUAUUAUCAUUUUAAAAAAAAUCACAUGCUCACAUAAGCGAUAAAAAUCAUGCACCAUUUCAUUAUUCAUUUACAUAUAAUUUAAAUAAGACAUUUUAAAUCCCAUUGAGAUGAAAUAAAAAUAUUUUAACCAUUUAAAAUCCAUACUCAUAAAGCCUUGAAAUAUUAUAAUAAAUGAGGGCUUAAUCCCAAAGUAUUCAUUUUAAAGUCCAUCAAUAAAUUUAUAUAUAAGAACGAACUUCAUUUAAAAUAAUAGUCCCAUCUUUCAAUAUUAACAUUUAAAUCAAGAGAUUUAAAUUCACUAAAAUAAUUUAGUGAAAAUUCAAACAUUUUUAAAAGAAAUAAAGCCAAAAUUUCGUAGACUUUAUUAUUCAAUUAACAGUCCAAAAUUAAUUAAAAUUGGGCCCAAUCAAUGAAAUAAAAAUACCCAUCAGCUUUAAAAUAAAAUGGGACCAGUACAUUUUAUUAAUAAAAUCGGCCCAUUCAUAUUUGAGGGCUUAAGCCCAUUUAAAACCAUAUCCCUAACAUACAUAUACACACAUAACACACAACAUCAGCCUCCCCCUUUCUCUCUGCCCCUCUGCUCGGUCGAGUGCAGCGCCGCCUCCGGCGCGCCGCCUCACCGAGCGUCUCCCUUCUCUCUCUCAUUCUCUCUGUUCUCUUUCGUCCGCCCCUCUCUCUCUGUUCUUUCUCCCUCGCCGGUAAUCGAUGCAUGCGCCGCCUUGAUGACCACAGCCGCCGCCUCGCCGUGAAGGAGCUCGGCCGCCGUCCGUCUGGUCUUCCUCCUUCGGCCUCUGCUCGGAAAAGGGCGCGCGGUAGCCUCCUCUCCAUCCCCUCGUCUGGAACAGGGCAUCUGCCCUCUCCGCCAUAGGGAGCGCACGGCCGCCGCCUGGCCGCCUCCUCCGUCUUCUUUCGUCGCCGGACUCACAGGUAAGCCCUAGCUUCUUCUCCCUUCGUUUCUUCUCUUUUUCUUCUUCCCCGUUUUUCUUUUCUUUAACCUAAUCUCUCCCCCUCUUCCCUCCUCUCUCGUUUCUAACAGUAAAAGGAAAAAGGCGGCGGCUGCCGCCUCGCCGCCUCCGGCCGUGAGCAGCCGCCGGCUGCUCUCACCCCCAUCACUCCGUUCCCGGACACACACAAGACAAAGUACAAGAACCCCCAAAUUUUCAGUCCAGAAAACACACAAAGAGCGAAGUUAGGGUUUUUCCCAAAACUGUUCUUUCAUCAAUUCAUUCUUGUUUAUUCUAUAAAAAUCAAAUCUUGUACUUGUAAUAGUUAGAAAAUGAAGUGAUGAUGAAUGUGUGUGUUCGUUGCUGCCUCUUUUUUUUUUUUUUGAUGCUUGAUCCAUAAUUUCAUAAGAUAAGUGGGGAGGAAUUGGAGUAACCUUGAUGUUGGUGGUAUUUGGUAUUUAGAUGGAAUCUGUGAAUUGUAAAUCAAGCAUAAGAACAUAUAACUUGGAUCAGAAUGUUAGAAACUGGAAAAUUUAAUGGUGGUUUAACAAUUAAUCACCUUUAUUCUUGAUUUGGAAACUUGAAGGCAGCCAAAACUUGGGACUGAUUUUGGAGAUCUGGAACCGAUUUGGAAGAUUUGGACAUUGAAGGCAGCCGAAAGUUGGGAUAGGAAUAUGAGAAAAUGGUGCUUUAGAGAUUAGAGAGAGAGUGUGUCUUAGUGAGUAAGCUAAACUUUUGGAUAAGAAAAAGGCUUAAUGAGGAAGCCAAACCUUUGAUUUGGAUAAGAAUAAAAGGAUAUUUUGGAAUUACUAAUAAAAUAAGGCAAGUUGGUGAUUAUGGGAUUGAAGCAAAAAUAAAGUAAGUGAAUGGAUGUGAGGUUAAAAUAAAUUAAGGAAAGUAAGUGCAUAUUAAUCACUUAAAAUAAAACUCAUGACCUUAAUAAAUAAGUAAAAAUGAUCUUUAAUAAAAUCAUUGUAAUAAAACCCUUGAUAAAAAAAUAUAAUAAUCCAUUUAAAAGAAAAUUCAUGACUUCAUGCCCAAUUUAAAAAUCCAUGCGGUUCGUAUAAAUACACUCAACUCACGAAUUAAAACUUAUGCACCACAUUUAUAAAAAUUCUUUAAAUCACAAACGGAUUCAAAUAAUAAUAAGAAAAACACAUCAAAACACAUAUAUAACAAUUAAAUCACAUCAGAUAAAUCAAACCACUUUUUAUUAUUAAUGGAUGCCGAACCCUAAUUAUUAAUAAUUAAGCUUUUAAUCAGUGAUUAAAAGCCAGGAUAUGACACUUUUAGAAGAUGCCGAAGUCAUGGUGAGAGCAAUCACAGUGCUAGCAGAUUUUGUGGUGCUCGAGGCAGGGCAAGGUAUUACCGGAGAGAAUGGGCAGCUUGUUCUACUUGGCCGGCCUUUUAUGGCUACUACUCAGACGCGCAUUGAUGUGGGUUCUGGAACCUUGAGUAUGGUUGUAACACCCCGUACUUUUCCUUAUUUAGAAAUAGUGUCUUAACACUAUUGAGAGUACUGAGAUAUUGAGAUGCUAGAUUUUUUUUUAUGACCAGAUAAGACAGAUUGUCUUUUAAAUAGAGAUAUGAGUGGACAAACCAAAGAUAGAAUUAGAGUGAAGAGAUUUGAUAAAUGAGUUGAGGUAGAGAUGCUGAUUGAAUUGAGCUGAGAUUUUAUUUUAUUUCCAACUACCGGGAAUAGAAUUACCGGAUACCGAGUUAUCAGAGAGAUUGACUGUCCUAUUAAGAAAAUAGGAAUAAUGAGUUGGAAAUAGAGUCGAGAAAAAAAGAGUGAGAACCCUUGAUGAAAAGAGUCGGUCUGAGAGACGUUUAGUUUGUCCGUGUUUUGCCGAUUGCUUUGACGUGAUAUUAUGUGAAUUUACGUGACUGAUUGAUUAUGUGAUUUUGUUACGUGUGCCAUUAUGAGCAAGUUAUUAUGAUUUUUUUUGUUGAGAACUUUAGCGCUUGAAAUUUUAAUUGAGUUUUCAAAGUAAGUGCGAUUUAUUUUUACCGAGAAAUCAAAGAAUGCCUGUCGCAGCCCGCCGCCUAGCCAGUGAUAGCGUAGACCGGGUAUCGAUACGACUAAAUAAUUUAAUAAGGUAAAAAGAGAAAACUAGAUCGAACGUCAAGCGGAAGCAAUCUCUGAAACGUGAUAAAUCAAGAAAGAUGACAUCAUCAUCAAUAAAAAUAUUAUUGGCUUUAUAACUUUUAAAUCAUCGAGAUUCUUGUCAACCUUUACAAAGUAGACAUAGCUAAUUACUCACAAUGACUCGGGGUAUACAGAGUAUUGCAGCAAAAUGCGAACAGACUAUAUGUAUGAAGACAUAUAGCCGAGAGUAAAUUUCUUGAUUAAGUUUAAAAUAAACCUCAACAUCUUGAUGUUACCGCAAGGAAUAUAAUUACGGUAUAAUGAAGAUCAUCCGAAACAAAAUCCCUGCCAGCACCAGUCCAAUCUCCCUCCUCGCUUAUCCUGCACGUUUAGAAAUACAUGCAGGGCUGAGUACAGAAUACUCAGUGGACAUAUGCCGAAAAUCAAUGAAAACUAGCUCUUAGAGCUAUAGAUUGAACUUGCCACAUAAGCAAUACACGGGGAUUUUACUCAAAAGAACCCGUGUAAGCAGUUAACAAUCAUAAACAUCAUAAAUAAAUGACCGGUCAAAAUUCUCGUUAUGUAUGUACCACAUCUACAAAUCAUCAUCAUUUAAGGUACUGAGAAGUAGGCCUCCUUCUCAAGUACCGUGACCGGCCGACCCGAAGGACAGCUCACGGUCACCUCUGUGUACACAAUCCCGCUUGUGGCAGGACCCGAAUUCGUCUCAUCAGUAGAGGGUGACAUACAGGCUCGUCGUCAUCAAAACUUGGCAAGUCAAUUAGUUCAACAUCAAUAAAUCUCAAAAUAUUUAUCAGACUCAUAAACAUCAUCAACAGUAAUAAUUUUCAUCAAACUGAAAUUGACAGUUAAAUCACAUCAUUUAUUUCAUUUCGUAUAAGAGGCCUACGAUACGCAGGGGAUCUCUAUAUACGUAUAGUAAAAAUAAUGCCCACCUGAUGUCCUAGCUUACUCUCGUAGCGUUCGGGGUGGACUCACUUCCGUCCUCUGCUCGCAUCUUCAGAUAUCAUAACAUCGAAUAUAGUUCAUGGGGUAAAACAAAAGGAAUCGGUCAGAAACUUCCUUACUAAGAAUAUCAUUCUAUCUUAGUAAUAUUACAUUACUUCUCAUUUCUACACUCCGUCUCACUCGAUCUCAUAUCGUAAACACUUUCUAAGUAAUCACUACUUUAUUCUUGACUUAUCUCCUAAUGUAGGUCUAAACUCUGUCAAGGAACAACUCAUAGAUAAACAAUCCAUAAGCACAUAGCAAUCACAUAAACAAACUCAUUUUUGAAAAAUAAAAUAUUUUUAGUCGGGGAAAUUUCCCAAAAAUCUAUUUUAUAAAUCAUUCUUAAACCAAUUAUUCAAAAAUUAACUCACAUAAACAAGUUAUGCCAUUUUAUUACAUUUUUCAUGUAUAAGCUCAAUUCAUCUUCACUAAGCCACAUAUAGACAUCUUUAAUUCAUAUCUCAUCUAAUAAUCAAAAUCUUAUUCAAUUCACUCUUUCUGCACUGCCUUAACUUAAGAGAAUAAACUGUUUCUCCUUGGAACUCUCCUGGGUUAGAGACUCAUACUAUUGGAAACCUCUUUGAGUCUAGUUUUAUUUAAAAAAAAGUAGGUUGAAAAACUCCAAGUGGUUUAAGAGAUAUGACCGUUCUCCCACAGUCUACCAUAUUCGGCAGUUUCGUGCAACUGGAAGUUUCGAAUUUUGAAAAAUAGUAAACAUUUCCGAAAUGACUUGAAAUUUUAUGGGUAGCUAGAUAACACAUUAAUAUUUUACCAUAAAAAUUUGGAAAGCAAAAACUCAGGGUAAGCUACUGAAAAUGGUGACUCUAAGGUCUGUUCUUCUAAACUUUCGGUAGAAAGUUGCAGUUGGGGUUUUGCAUUUUAAAAGGGUAGUAAAUGAAGUCCAAAUGACUUGAAAUUUUACAUGGACGCUCAUAACACUCUGAUAUACGCACCAUAAAAUUUUCAAGAUUUUUAGGAAUCAAGAACCCUGUCGAAAUUCAUCAAGUCAGUAGCUUUUUAAAGGUUUUCAAAAUAACUCAUCAACUUGCCAACUUUAAGCAUAUAGCCAACUAUACCCUAUUUUUCAUCAAACUAACUCACUUCAAUAUUCAUCAAACACCUUUAAUCAUCAUUCUAAUCCAUCAAAUAUCAUCUCAAUAAUCUCAAUAGCUCAUAUUCAUAACCAAAUCAACAAUCCAUCCAUGAACUUCAAACUUCUCAAAAUCAUGUAAACUAACCCAUCUAAAAAAUUCACAUAUCGAUUUAAAUCCAUCCUUUGCAUGUAGAAAUGGACUAAAUAGGAUCUCAAUAGCAUGAAUAUAUUCUCAAUAUAAGAUAAGAAGAUGAAAAAAACAAUUUGAAGGCUUCCAACCCUAAAGUUUUCGAAAAUUACAAACUUGAAUUAGAAGUUGUUUUCAUGCUAUAAUCAUCCAUAUUCAUGCUUAUAUAUCUCAAAUAUGAUUAGAUUUAGAUAAAUCUAACACUUACUCAAUGAUUUUUGAGUAGAAAAUGAAAAUCUCCUCUUGACUUCAAGCUUUAAAAACCUUCCAUAGUUGCUCUUGAUUUGAAGUGUAUAGAUGUUUAGAGCUUGUUUUAAUGGAAGCUUAUGGUAUAGAAAUGAUCUAUGAAGCUUUGUAUAUGAUCAUCAAUGGAGGAUGAUGAAGAAAAUUGGGAGAGAAGAGAGAGAGGGAGGGGACGGUUCUAUGGGUGAGAAAUGAGGGAAUGAAU